rnacentral:rRNA from 1 species
CGAGAUUCCCACUGUCCCUAUCUACUACUUGGCGAAACCACAGCCAUGGGAACGGGCAUGGCAACAUCAGCGGGGAAAGAAGACCCUGUUGAGCUUGACUCUAGUCCGACUUGGUAGAAUGGCUCGAAGGGUAUAGCAUAAGUGGGAGGCGCAAGCCGACCUUGAAAUACCACUACCUUUGACGCCGUUUUACUCAUUCAAUUGGGUUGGAACCUUUGCCUUGUGAGGUGUAACAGCCGAGCCUGGUAAAGUUGAUUCUAGUCUUAGUAAUUCGAAAGCACGUUGUUGGUGCAGUGCCGGUCGCGAGACCAGGUGCUGAGCCUAGCGGCCUCUGCUUCGGAGACCAAAGGUUGAAGACAUAGUCAGGUGGGGAGUUUGGCUGGGGCGGCACAUCUGUGAAACGAUAGCGCAGGUGUCCUAAGAGCAGCUCAAAGAGAACAGAAAUCUCUUGUAGAACAUAAGGGUAAAAGACUGCUUUGAUUUUGAUUUUCAGUAUGAAUACAAACCUUAGAAAGAGUAGG